rnacentral:rRNA from 1 species
AUUGAACGCUGGCGGCAGGCUUAACACAUGCAAGUCGAGCGGGGAGAUGGUGCUUGCACUAUCACUUAGCGGCGGACGGGUGAGUAAUGCUUAGGAAUCUGCCUAUUAGUGGGGGACAACAUCUCGAAAGGGAUGCUAAUACCGCAUACGUCCUACGGGAGAAAGCAGGGGAUCACUUGUGACCUUGCGCUAAUAGAUGAGCCUAAGUCGGAUUAGCUAGUUGGUGGGGUAAAGGCCUACCAAGGCGAAGAUCUGUAGCGGGUCUGAGAGGAUGAUCCGCCACACUGGGACUGAGACACGGCCCAGACGCCUACGGGAGGGAGAAGUGGGGAAUAUUGGACAAUGGGGGGAACCCUGAUCCAUCCAUGCCGCGUGUGUGAAGAAGGCCUUAUGGUUGUAAAGCACUGUAAGCGAGGAGGAGGCUCUUUUGGUUAAUACCCAAGAUGAGUGGACGUUACUCGCAGAAUAAGCACCGGCUAACUCUGUGCCAGCCGCCGCGGUAA